CAGUAGCCGCGGGAAUACGAAGGGUGCAAGCGUUAAUCGGAAUUACUGGGCGUAAAGGGUGCGUAGGCGGUUGUUUAAGUCUGUUGUGAAAUCCCCGGGCUCAACUUGGGAACUGCAUUUGAAACUGGCAAGCUAGGGUCUUGUAAAGGGGGGUAGAACUCCAGGUGUAGCGGUGAAAUGCGUAGAGAUGUGGAGGAACACCAGUGGCGAAGGCGGCCACCUGGGACAACACUGACGCUGAGGCACGAAAGCGUGGGGAGCAAACAGGAUUAGAUACCCCAGUAGUCCCUGUCUCUUAUAU
rnacentral:rRNA from 1 species